rnacentral:rRNA from 1 species
UGGGGAAUCUUGGACAAUGGGGGCAACCCUGAUCCAGCGAUGCCGCGUGAGUGAAGAAGGCCUUCGGGUCGUAAAGCUCUUUAGGUUGGGAAGAAGUGCACGUUGUGAAUAACAAUGUGUGUUGACGGUACCGACAGAAUAAGCACCGGCAAACUCUGUGCCAGCAGCCGCGGUAAUACAGAGGGUGCGAGCGUUAAUCGGAAUUACUGGGCGUAAAGGGCGCGUAGGCGGUUGAAUAUGUGUGAUGUGAAAGCCCCGGGCUUAACCUGGGAAGUGCAUCGCAAACUGUUUGACUGGAGUAUAUGAGAGGGUGGCGGAAUUUCCGGUGUAGCGGUGAAAUGCGUAGAGAUCGGAAGGAACGUCGAUGGCGAAGGCAGCCACCUGGCAUAAUACUGACGCUGAGGCGCGAAAGCGUGGGGAGCGAACAGG